CGCAGCCCUGUCCCCCUGGAAACCUUCUGCCUGGCACCUUCCUCUCAGGCCGCCCUUCCGUCCAGCCAUGGGCGGUGAGCCACGGAGGAGGCAGGAGCUCGAGUCUGUGCCCCACCUGCAUAAACCAAUCCCAGAAGCCCCACCCGUCACACCACAGGCAUGUGCGGACAUGGCCUGGAGAGGUGGGGGACAGGCCACAGGAGAGGGCUGCGCAGGCAGCCGUGAUGACCUAAGUGGGGGCGACAUGGAGGGCUGUCGGCCGGGAGGUGGUGUGGGGUGUUGCUCCCCUGUGGGAACAGCAACGGAACAGGCUCUGAGGCAGGAACAGGCCGACGGUGCCCGGGCUGCUGCUCCUGAGAGGCCCCCGCAAGGUGGGGUCUGAACAGGACGGCGUGAGCGGACAACCCAGAGGCGUAUUGAUCUUGCCACAGCCACUGCCACUGCUCUGUGUCUGCCCUGAUCGUGGCCGCAGCCUGGCGCUGGGCGCCAGCCUCCCACCUGCUCCAUUACAAAGGCCGUCCUGCUGAAGCUCUGGGGCUGGGGGAUAAGGAAGGAACAACCAGGGACAACUCCACAGGGCGAGCAGUGCUGUUGGGGGGUAACUGCCACACCUGUCUUGCUCCCCAGCAAACAAGGCUCCAGCCAAUCCCUGUCCCGAACACCAAGCUGCUGAGGGGAGCCGGCCCAGCACCUGCCACACCCAGUGGAGCCGGGAGGGCCGGGAUGUCAGACUGAGCAACACCUGCCAGGUGCCAGGCUCGGCUCCCGUGCUUCACACCAACCCCUCCCAGCGCCUCUGCAGCCACUGUCACCACCCUGUUGGCUCAGAUGAGACAACAGGCUCAGACAGGUCGAGCACCUGGCUUGAGGAUACACAGCGAGCGAGGGGCCAGGCUGACUGGCUCCAGGGUCUGUGCUCCCAGCUGCUGGGCCAUUCCAGCUCCCUGUGCUUCCCGGAGCAGGGGUCAGCCAACUUUCUCUAUAAGGGACCAGAGAAUGCUGAGAAGGGGACACAUCCUUCCCAUCCCAGAGGAGGCGGCCAAGCGACAGGGCCCCCAGGAUAUGGACACUGAGGGCAUGUGGCACCGUGGGAGCCUAGUGAUGGCACAGCCUGGGAAAGAGACCAGGACGAAUUCUCCAGAAGACACAGUUGGAGGGCAGAGAGAAAGGGGGAUGGUGUUCCUGCUCUAGGUCCGGGGCUCCUAAUACUCCUGGAAUUUCCUAAGUGAUAAGAGUGAUCAGGCGUCUUUUGUUACUAAGGUGACCUUUGGAAAGUCCCAAAGGAUGGGGACUGAUGGCCAGGGGACCAACCACUCCAGGGGAGGGUAGGACUGUUCAAUUCCCCUUCUCCUUGGCCUCCAAUGGCCAAGGAUUUAAUCAAUCAUGUACCUACAAUGAAGCCUCCAUAAACGAAAACCCAAAGGGCAGCAUUCCAAGGGCUUCUGGGCUGGCAGGCAUGUGGUGGUGGCAGGUGGGUGGCCCCUGGAGAGGGCGUGCAGGCUCCACACCCCUUCCCACAUACCUUGCCCUACCCGUCUCUUCCAUCUGGUGGUUCCUGAGUAGUAUAUUUUUAUAAUAAACAAGAGAUCUAGUGA